ACGGAAGGCAGCAGUGGGGAAUAUUGGGCAAUGGGCGAAAGCCUGACCCAGCAACGCCGCGUGAAGGAAGAAGGUUUUCGGAUUGUAAACUUCUUUUAUCAGGGACGAAGAAAGUGACGGUACCUGAUGAAUAAGCCACGGCUAACUACGUGCCAGCAGCCGCGGUAAUACGUAGGUGGCAAGCGUUAUCCGGAUUUACUGGGUGUAAAGGGCGCGUAGGCGGGGAUGCAAGUCAGGUGUGAAAUCUAUGGGCUUAACCCAUAAACUGCAUUUGAAACUGUAUCUCUUGAGUGUCGGAGAGGUAGACGGAAUUCCUAGUGUAGCGGUGAAAUGCGUAGAUAUUAGGAGGAACACCAGUGGCGAAGGCGGUUUACUGGACUGCAACUGACGCUGAGGCUCGAAAGUAUGGGGAGCAAACAGGAUUAGAUACCCUGGUA
rnacentral:rRNA from 1 species